rnacentral:rRNA from 1 species
UGGGGAAUUUUGGACAAUGGGCGAAAGCCUGAUCCAGCAAUGCCGCGUGUGUGAAGAAGGCCUUCGGGUUGUAAAGCACUUUUGUCCGGAAAGAAAUCCUUGGCUCUAAUACAGUCGGGGGAUGACGGUACCGGAAGAAUAAGCACCGGCUAACUACGUGCCAGCAGCCGCGGUAAUACGUAGGGUGCAAGCGUUAAUCGGAAUUACUGGGCGUAAAGCGUGCGCAGGCGGUUUGCUAAGACCGAUGUGAAAUCCCCGGGCUCAACCUGGGAACUGCAUUGGUGACUGGCAGGCUAGAGUAUGGCAGAGGGGGUAGAAUUCCACGUGUAGCAGUGAAAUGCGUAGAGAUGUGGAGGAAUACCGAUGGCGAAGGCAGCCCCCUGGGCCAAAUACUGACGCUCAUGCACGAAAGCGUGGGGAGCAAACAGGAUUAGAUACCCUGGUAGUCCACGCCCUAAACGAUGUCAACUAGUUGUUGGGGAUUCAUUUCCUUAGUAACGUAGCUAACGCGUGAAGUUGACCGCCUGGGGAGUACGGUCGCAAGAUUAAAACUUAAAUGAAUUGACGGGGUCAUAGCUGUUUCC